ensembl:lncRNA
GUUCCACCUGGCAAUGACCUCCUCAUUAUGAGAAGAAUUGAAUUCCUUGGAGGAGCAGACUUAGUGAGGUCAUUCAGGCAAUGAGCAGGUAGGAUUCAGAUGACUGAGAAGCUGCUCUGCUGGAAGCGUUUUCCUGCCUCACUGCACUCUGGAAUAUUCUCUCCUUUUUUGCAGAGUGCUGCUGCACAACCACAGACCCAGAGGAUAACGUCUAUCAUGCUGCGGUUUGGCCAGCACCUCAUCAAGCCCUCCGUGGUCUUCCUGAAGACCGAGCUUUCCUUUGCUCUCGUGAACCGCAAGCCGGUGGUCCCGGGCCGUAUCCUUCUGACCAGUGCCUUGACCAUGGGCACCUGCACGCCCUGGGAGAAGCAGGGAAGCUCGGUGUGCUCCUGAGGCCAGUAGGUGCUCAGAAGAAAAGGCAGGCACCUGCUUCAUUUCCCCUCUUUUCCCUUUCCCCUCCUGCCAUCCUUUCUGCUGGUGUUCAACUCAACUCUAAAAGAGUGGCAGUGUACAAAAAUUGAACUUCAUUAAGAAGCUCUAAGUGACUUUACUUUUUUUCAUCACGUUUCAAGUAUGUUGUGCUUAAGACAAUGCAAUACAACGUAAUGGCAGUAUAUGUACAGAGCACAACACAGGAUGGUGCAAUAAUUAUAUAGUGUUCAUGUGUUUAAAAUUUUGGGAACUCUACAAAGAUUUAAUGUGGUUGAUGUUGCAAUAUACUGAUGCAGUUUGAUGAAUGUACUGAUGUGACUGGGAGCUGUUAUCUCAGUGAUGCAUUCUGACAACAAAAUUACUUCCUGUUGGUGAAAGCUUCCAGUAAAGCCCCUUUUUAUAUCAUCUAAAUUUAAGCAUACUUUUUAAAAGAGUAUCUGUUGCUAACAUAAUAUGUCCUCUAUUCCAAAUGAUUACAGUAUUUCUUCCUUUGAGAUGCCAAACUGGUAUCAGAAACAUCUUUCCUGUGAAUAGUGUGGUCUCAUUUCUCUUGUAUGCAUUAAUUGUUAAUCAGUCACUGUAGUGUGAAGUCUGAUAAACAAUUGUACUUUAUUGCUGCGAUUAAGAGCUAACAGAUCCUUUUAAUACACCUUGAGAAGGUAAAAAUUGCUUCACAGUAUCACGAUAGUGAUCUGUCUUGUCCAUUAUCCUAUUUCUGUAACAGUGCUUAAAAUCAAAGGCUGACAGGAAAAUGAAACAAUCCAUCUGUUCUAAUAUUACAAAGUGACAUGCUUCUUGGUAGAGGUUGGCAAGAGAAAUUUUAACACUGCUGGCUUAUAGCCAUUAAAAUGUGUGUACCGUUCUCCCUCUUCUUAUUGCCUUUUCAGUGUCCUUUAGAAAUAUACAGUCUGGUGUUUAUUUCUGUCAGGAUGCUGUUCCAAUAUUUUCAAACCCUAUCUUCUACAUUCUUGUCCACAAAUGGAAGGAAGGGCAAUGGUGUCUCAGGAAGUUCUCUUCUAACAAUUUUCAAAUUCAGUGCUCCAUUUUAAUGAGAAGAAUUCACUUGCAUUAUCUGAGUUACAUGUUAUUACUUCUCACUUUCAUUUUAAUUAGUGUCAUCUUAAUUAAUGUCUAUACUAUUUUAGUCCAUUUUUGGCCAAAGAUUGUACUUCUCAUCUCUCAGUACUUAUUUUCCUUAAUAGUCAUUCAUUUGGCACCUUGAGGAAGAAAUGUAUUUUUAAAUAAUUCUUUCAAUCCACGUUGCUUCAUGCUAGUAGCUGUCUUUCAAAGACAGCAUGUUAGUAAUGUAUUUCUAGAUGUGUUUUUUCUAACACUUGAUAAACAGGUGUAAUUGCCUCAUGACUUCCAUAAAUAGCAUGACUUCCAUAAAUAAAAAUAUUAAACUGUGACUUGUUCCA